GUUGGGUAGGGGAGCGUUCUGUAAGCCUGUGAAGGUGUGCUGUGAGGYAUGCUGGAGGUAUCAGAAGUGCGAAUGCUGACAUAAGUAACGAUAAUGCGGGUGAAAAACCCGCACGCCGGAAGACCAAGGGUUCCUGUCCAACGUUAAUCGGGGCAGGGUGAGUCGACCCCUAAGGCGAGGCAGAAAUGCGUAGUCGAUGGGAAACGGGUUAAUAUUCCCGUACUGGUGAUAAUUGCGAUGGGGGGACGGAGAAGGCUAGGCUAUCCGGGCGACGGUUGUCCCGGUUUAAGGAUGUAGGCAGGUGAAUUAGGCAAAUCCGGUUCACUAUAUGCUGAGGUCCGAYGACGAGUCACUACGGUGAUGAAGUAGCUCAUGCCCCGCUUCCAGGAAAAGCCUCUAAGCUCUAGAUUAUCAUUAAUCGUACCCCAAACCGACACAGGUGGUCAGGUAGAGAAUACUCAGGCGCUUGAGAGAACUCGGGUGAAGGAACUAGGCAAAAUGGUGCCGUAACUUCGGGAGAAGGCACGCUGGCAUUAGGUGAAGUGAUUUACUCAUGGAGCUGAAGCCAGUCGCAGAUACCAGCUGGCUGCAACUGUUUAUUAAAAACACAGCACUGUGCAAACACGAAAGUGGACGUAUACGGUGUGACGCCUGCCCGGUGCUGGAAGGUUAAUUGAUGGGGUUAUCCGUAAGGAGAAGCUCUUGAUCGAAGCCCCAGUAAACGGCGGCCGUAACUAUAACGGUCCUAAGGUAGCGAAAUUCCUUGUCGGGUAAGUUCCGACCUGCACGAAUGGCGUAAUGAUGGCCAGGCUGUCUCCACCCGAGACUCAGUGAAAUUGAACUCGCUGUGAAGAUGCAGUGUACCCGCGGCAAGACGGAAAGACCCCGUGAACCUUUACUAUAGCUUGACACUGAACAUUGAGCCUUGAUGUGUAGGAUAGGUGGGAGGCUUYGAAGCGUGGACGCCAGUCUGCGUGGAGCCAACCUUGAAAUACCACCCUUUAAUGUUUGAUGUUCUAACGUUGCCCCAUUAUCUGGGGUGCGGACAGUGUCUGGUGGGUAGUUUGACUGGGGCGGUCUCCUCCCAAAGAGUAACGGAGGAGCACGAAGGUUGGCUAAGCAUGGUCGGACAUCAUGCGGUUAGUGCAAAGGCAUAAGCCAGCUUGACUGCGAGAGUGACGGCUCGAGCAGGUACGAAAGUAGGUCUUAGUGAUCCGGUGGUUCUGAAUGGAAGGGCCAUCGCUCAACGGAUAAAAGGUACUCCGGGGAUAACAGGCUGAUACCGCCCAAGAGUUCAUAUCGACGGCGGUGUUUGGCACCUCGAUGUCGGCUCAUCACAUCCUGGGGCUGAAGUAGGUCCCAAGGGUACGGCUGUUCGCCGUUUAAAGUGGUACGCGAGCUGGGUUUAGAACGUCGUGAGACAGUUCGGUCCCUAUCUGCCGUGGGCGUUGGAAGAUUGAAAGGGGCUGCUCCUAGUACGAGAGGACCGGAGUGGACGCACCACUGGUGUUCGGGUUGUCAUGCCAAUGGCAUUGCCCGGUAGCUAAGUGCGGAAGAGAUAACCGCUGAAAGCAUCUAAGCGGGAAACUUGCCUUGAGAUGAGUCUUCCCUGACUCUUUAAG
rnacentral:rRNA from 1 species